GGUUAGGCCUGGGUGUUCGGCUA
rnacentral:siRNA from 1 species